GACAGAGGGUGCAAACGUUGUUCGGAAUUACUGGGCGUAAAGCGUGUGUAGGCGGCUACAUAAGUCGGAUGUGAAAGCCCCUGGCUCAACUGGGGAAGUGCACCCGAAACUGAGUAGCUUGAGUGCAAAAGAGGGCCGCGGAAUUCCCGGUGUAGAGGUGAAAUUCGUAGAUAUCAGGAGGAACACCGGUGGCGAAGGCGGAUCUCUGGGCCAUUACUGACGCUGAGGAGCGAAAGCGUGGGGAGCGAACAGG
rnacentral:rRNA from 1 species